AUGGUAGGAGAGCGUUCCGUAAGCCUGCGAAGGUGCGUUGAAAAGCGUGCUGGAGGUAUCGGAAGUGCGAAUGCUGACAUGAGUAGCGAUAAAGGGGGUGAAAGGCCCCCUCGCCGUAAGCCCAAGGUUUCCUACGCAACGUUCAUCGGCGUAGGGUGAGUCGGCCCCUAAGGCGAGGCAGAAAUGCGUAGCUGAUGGGAAGCAGGUCAAUAUUCCUGCACCGUCGUUAGAUGCGAUGGGGGGACGGAUCGCGGAAGGUUGUCCGGGUGUUGGACGUCCCGGUCGCUGCAUUGGAGAAGGCGCUUAGGCAAAUCCGGGCGCAGGAUUCAAGGGUGUGGCGCGAGCUCCCUCGGGAGCGAAGCAAUUGGAAGUGGUUCCAAGAAAAGCCUCUAAGCUUCAGUCUAACGAUGACCGUACCGCAAACCGACACAGGUGGGCGAGAUGAGUAUUCUAAGGCGCUUGAGAGAACUCGGGAGAAGGAACUCGGCAAAUUGGUACCGUAACUUCGGGAUAAGGUACGCCCUUGUAGCUUGACUGGCCUGCGCCAGAAGGGUGAAGGGGUUGCAAUAAACUGGUGGCUGCGACUGUUUAAUAAAAACACAGCACUCUGCAAACACGAAAGUGGACGUAUAGGGUGUGACGCCUGCCCGGUGCCGGAAGAUUAAAUGAUGGGGUGCAAGCUCUUGAUUGAAGUCCCGGUAAACGGCGGCCGUAACUAUAACGGUCCUAAGGUAGCGAAAUUCCUUGUCGGGUAAGUUCCGACCUGCACGAAUGGCGUAACGAUGGCCACACUGUCUCCUCCCGAGACUCAGCGAAGUUGAAGUGUUUGUGAUGAUGCAAUCUACCCGCGGCUAGACGGAAAGACCCCAUGAACCUUUACUGUAGCUUUGCAUUGGACUUUGAACCGAUCUGUGUAGGAUAGGUGGGAGGCUAUGAAACCGGAACGCUAGUUUCGGUGGAGCCGUCCUUGAAAUACCACCCUGGUUUGUUUGAGGUUCUAACCUUGGCCCGUGAUCCGGGUCGGGGACAGUGCAUGGUAGGCAGUUUGACUGGGGCGGUCUCCUCCCAAAGCGUAACGGAGGAGUACGAAGGUACGCUAGGUACGGUCGGAAAUCGUGCUGAUAGUGCAAUGGCAUAAGCGUGCUUAACUGCGAGACCGACAAGUCGAGCAGGUGCGAAAGCAGGUCAUAGUGAUCCGGUGGUUCUGUAUGGAAGGGCCAUCGCUCAACGGAUAAAAGGUACUCUGGGGAUAACAGGCUGAUACCGCCCAAGAGUUCAUAUCGACGGCGGUGUUUGGCACCUCGAUGUCGGCUCAUCUCAUCCUGGGGCUGUAGCCGGUCCCAAGGGUAUGGCUGUUCGCCAUUUAAAGAGGUACGUGAGCUGGGUUUAAAACGUCGUGAGACAGUUUGGUCCCUAUCUGCCGUGGGCGUUGGAUAUUUGAAGGGGGCUGCUCCUAGUACGAGAGGACCGGAGUGGACGAACCUCUGGUGUACCGGUUGUCACGCCAGUGGCAUCGCCGGGUAGCUAUGUUCGGAAGAGAUAACCGCUGAAAGCAUCUAAGCGGGAAACUCGCCUUAAGAUGAGAUAUCCCUGGAGGCUUGACCUCCUUGAAGGGUCGUUCGAGACCAGGACGUUGAUAGGUCGGGUGUGUAAGCGCAGUAAUGCGUUCAGCUAACCGAUACUAAUUGCCCGUAAGGCUUGAUCC
rnacentral:rRNA from 1 species